rnacentral:rRNA from 1 species
UGGGGGAUAUUGCACAAUGGGGGAAACCCUGAUGCAGCAACGCCGCGUGAAGGAAGAAGGUCUUCGGAUUGUAAACUUUUGUCUUGCGGGACGAAUAAUGACGGUACCGCAGGAGGAAGCCACGGCUAACUACGUGCCAGCAGCCGCGGUAAUACGUAGGUGGCGAGCGUUGUCCGGAAUUACUGGGGGUAAAGGGUGCGUAGGCGGGUUUGCAAGUCAGACGUGAAAACUAUCGGCGCAACCGAUAGCCUGCGUUUGAAACUGUGAAUCUUGAGUGGUGAAGAGGUAAGCGGAAUUCCUAGUGUAGCGGUGAAAUGCGUAGAUAUUAGGAGGAACACCAGUGGCGAAGGCGGCUUACUGGGCACUAACUGACGCUGAGGCACGAAAGCAUGGGGAGCAAACA